rnacentral:rRNA from 1 species
UGAAAAGUAAGCAAAGAAAGGUACCUUUCUUUGUGGUGUAAAAGCAGAAUAAUAGAAGUUUCAAUGACCACAGUAGCGGGAGCGAAAAGGAUAAUAGUAAAUUAUAGUACCGUAAGGGAAUUUCACUGUAAGAAGUGAGUAAAGAUAUUACUAAUAAAGCACGAGUGAAACUCGGUACCUUUUGCAUUAUGGUUAUAUGAAAGAGGCAAUGCAAAUGAAAUAGCCCGAAGUGACGUGAUCUACCUUUAAGAGGAAGGAUAGCGUUGUAAAGCUAUGGGGUUACUUAAAGGUAGGGGCGAGAUACCAGACGCACGGCAUGAUAGCUGGUUCUUCCAAAAAGGCGCCUUAGUGCUUUGAUCAUUGUAGGCUUUUGGUAAAAAAACUUGAAGAGGUUGAUGAUCAAUUGGGGUGAGGGGGAUAAGCUCCUCAUCCUGUUUAUGGUUAGAAAGAGGGUUUUCCUAUGAAGUAGGCUUAUGAGUGGCUAUCUUAUUAUCUUGUUAUAAAGAAAAGGUGACCUAAUAGAAAUUUAUAUUCACUAACCUUAAAGAGUAUGGAAGCAAUCUACUAAUUUAAAAGUAGAUUUGAGUAUUUAUAAAUUAGUAGUCAGAAGAAAGACAAAGUAAAGGACUACUAACAGGAAAAUGUCCUUAUUAUAAAAAAAUUUCUUCUAAAAAAUACAAGUAAGGAACUCGGCAAAUUAAGUUAUCACGCCUGUUUAUCAAAAACAUGGCCCUUUGCUAAGUUAUAAAGGGUCGUACCUGCACAAUGGCCUAGAAGUAGGCUAAAUUGCCGCGGUAACCUGACCGUGCGAAGGUAGCGCAAUCAUUUGCCUAUUAAUUGUUGGCCUGUAUAAAUGGUUUGACGCUGGUAACGCUGUCUCAUUUGUAGUUAUUUGAAUUUGACUUUUGGGUGAAAAGGCCCAAAUAAGCCUGAAAGACGAUUAGACCCUAUCGAACUUUAAGUGGAUCUGUUUUAACUUGAUAGUGUUAAAAGUAGUUAAGCUUUUGGUUGGGGUAACCGGAGGUUAUAAAAAACACCUCCCUUUGUAAUAAACACCCGUUUUACAAAAUAGAGUGAACUCUAUUUUAGGGCAAUUGGCCUGAAGGAAAGUAACUUGAUAAGAUAAUUAAAAGUCCGACAGGACAUAAAUGACUUAUAUAAUGAACCUAAAGAUCUACUGGAAAGUAGAAAGCUGUUAAUUGGGAAUAGUUACCGUAGGGAUAACAGCGUUAUCCUCCUGGCGAGACCAUAUUAAGGGGAGGGUUUGCGACCUCGAUGUUGGCUUAAGACUUCCAAGGAGUGCAGGGGCUUCUAAGGGUUGGUCUGUUCGACCAUUAAAGUCUUACGUGAGCUGAGUUCAGAUCGGCGUGAGCUAGGUCGGUUUCUAUCUUCAGAGUUUAAAAUAAGUGAUUGUACGAAAGGACUUUGCUUAUGGAAAAUUUCCGUCAUGUGAUUAGGUAUAACAUAAAUUUUAAAGUCUAAGUAAGCCUGG